CCCUUAGAUGUUCUGGGCCGCACGCGCGCUACACUGAUGCAUUCAACGAGCCUAUCCUUGACCGACAGGUCCGGGUAAUCUUUGAAUCUGCAUCGUGACGGGGAUAGAUUAUUGCAAUUAUUAAUCUUCAACGAGGAAUGCCUAGUAGGCGCAAGUCAUCAGCUUGCGUCGAUUACGUCCCUGCCCUUUGUACACACCGCCCGUCGCUCCUACCGAUUGAAUGUUCCGGUGAGCUCUUCGGACUGCGCGGUCUGCAGUUUCUGCGUUCCGUGCGGAAAGUUGUGCAAACCUUAACAUUUAGAGGAAGGAGAAGUCGUAACA
rnacentral:rRNA from 1 species